rnacentral:rRNA from 1 species
GCCGUAGGGCGCGAGCGUUGUCCGGAUUUAUUGGGCGUAAAGAGCUCGUAGGCGGCUCGUUGCGUCGGCUGUGAAAACCCGCAGCUCAACUGUGGGCUUGCAGCUGAUACGGGCGGGCUGGGAUUCGGUAGGGGAGACUGGAAUUCCUGGUGUAGCGGUGAAAUGCGCAGAUAUCAGGAGGAACACCGGUGGCGAAGGCGGGUCUCUGGGCCGAUAUCGACGCUGAGGAGCGAAAGCGUGGGGAGCGAACAGG